AUUGAACGCUGGCGGCAGGCCUAACACAUGCAAGUCGAGCGGUAGCACAGAGAGCUUGCUCUCGGGUGACGAGCGGCGGACGGGUGAGCAAUGUCUGGGAAACUGCCUGAUGGAGGGGGAUAACUACUGGAAACGGUAGCUAAUACCGCAUAACGUCGCAAGACCAAAGUGGGGGACCUUCGGGCCUCAUGCCAUCCGAUGUGCCCAGAUGGGAUUAGCUGGUAGGUGGGGUAACGGCUCACCUAGGCGACGAUCCCUAGCUGGUCUGAGAGGAUGACCAGCCACACUGGAACUGAGACACGGACCAGACUCCUACGGGAGGCAGCAGUGGGGAAUAUUGCACAAUGGGCGCAAGCCUGAUGCAGCCAUGCCGCGUGUGUGAAGAAGGCCUUCGGGUUGUAAAGCACUUUCAGCGGGGAGGAAGGCGGUGAGGUUAAUAACCUCAUCGAUUGACGUUACCCGCAGAAGAAGCACCGGCUAACUCCGUGCCAGCAGCCGCGGUAACAC
rnacentral:rRNA from 1 species